GCAAAUGGUAAGAGCACAUUAGCACCCCUUAAUCUAUGAUAGGAGGCAGCAAAUUCAAGCUUGGACAGUGAGAAUGCAUGUCCGAGAUGCAAAAUCCCAUUCAUGUAAGGAAAUGGAAAGUUGCCAAAGAACUUCUCAUCUGGUUCAGGAGGCUUUUUUCCAGGUUCAGCCCUGAAAACAUCUUUCUCAUCCCACCAGCCUCGAACCUUCUGCUCGAUCUCCAAGAGACGAUCCCUCCUUGCAAAGCUCUUUGCACCGUCUGCUGCCAUUUCACAAAAUUGAUGGGCACUCAGGUUCAAGACCGAUCGGCUAAGGGCAUUUCGAGGAAAGACUUGAAAUUUGUGCUUGAGUAAAUUAAGAGCCAGCGAGCAAGAAAGAGAGAUUUGAAGGAGUAUUUUUUGCGGCUCUUAAACUCGUUGAAGAGGC
rnacentral:misc_RNA from 1 species